GAUAAACGCUGGCGGCGUGCCUAACACAUGCAAGUCGAACGCUCUCGGGCAACCGAGAGAGUGGCGGACGGGUGAGGAACACGUGGGGAUCUACCCAGAGGUGAGGAAUACCGGCGAGAAAUCGCCGACAAAACCGCAUAGCCUCGGCAACGAGGAAAGUCGCAAGACGCCUGUGGAUGAACCUGCGUCCGAUUAGUUGGUUGGUGGGGUCAUGGCCUACCAAGACGACGAUCGGUAGCUGGUCUGAGAGGACGAUCAGCCACACUGGGAUUGAGAA
rnacentral:rRNA from 1 species